UCCAUUCCCAGGCUUCCCACCCGCGAGGCCCUCUGCCCAACUAGGUUUAGCGCCGCCGCCGUCCAGCUCCGGCGUCGCCGCUCCCCAGCUCCGGCCCUCCCUCUCAAGGGCACCCGCGGCGAGGUGCCAUGCGGCCAGGGCCGCCACCUCCCUCGGCCCUCUGAGCUCGCCCCACGCGCACCCCCUCCCUGCCCCCUCCCUCGCCCACCUUGAGAUCCGGCCGGCGCGCUGGGUCGGAGCGUCAGGCGAGGCCGGCUGGCGAGCGCGGGCAGGGCAGGGCCUCCGCGCACCCAGGUGGGAGACGUCGCACAGGGCUGGGCUAGCCGCCCAGAGCAGUGCGCCUUCUCGCCACUGAUCCCAGAAACGCAUCAUGGCCUCCGCGUCUGGAUUCACCAACUACACCGCCUUCUGAUUUUUGGAAAUCUCAGGCACCUUGAAGCUUCUUUUGGCUUGCCCAAGACUUAUGGUCUGGAGGCACUACUUCUUUUAUUGUGAUGUUCAUCCCAUGGUCAUGUAAUUUAAGACACUUUUGGUUUGCAAACUAGUCAACUUAGGAGCUUCAAUGUUGGUGAAAUGAACAAAUACAUGUUGCUCUUAUUUGUUGCUCUAAUUGCUGAAUGAAAAAUGGUGUGUGGUUCCUUGUUGUUGUAAAUUCUAUAUGCUUAGGCCA